rnacentral:sRNA from 1 species
AGCUUACCUAUAUUUUACAUUAGUGUCUUUUACUGACUCUCACUCUUCUUCCUUUAUCUCCUAGAUACACCAAAAUGAAGACUGCCACCAACAUCUACAUUUUCAACCUUGCUCUGGCAGAUGCCUUAGCCACCAGUACCCUGCCCUUCCAGAGUGUGAAUUACCUAAUGGGAACAUGGCCAUUUGGAACCAUCCUUUGCAAGAUAGUGAUCUCCAUAGAUUACUAUAAUAUGUUCACCAGCAUAUUCACCCUCUGCACCAUGAGUGUUGAUCGAUACAUUGCAGUCUGCCACCCUGUCAAGGCCUUAGAUUUCCGUACUCCCCGAAAUGCCAAAAUUAUCAAUGUCUGCAACUGGAUCCUCUCUUCAGCCAUUGGUCUUCCUGUAAUGUUCAUGGCUACAACAAAAUACAGGCAUGGUUCCAUAGAUUGUACACUAACAUUCUCUCAUCCAACCUGGUACUGGGAAAACCUGCUGAAGAUCUGUGUUUUCAUCUUCGCCUUCAUCAUGCCCGUGCUCAUCAUUACCGUGUGCUAUGGACUGAUGAUCUUGCGCCUCAAGAGUGUCCGCAUGCUCUCUGGCUCCAAAGAAAAGGACAGGAAUCUUCGAAGGAUCACCAGGAUGGUGCUGGUGGUGGUGGCUGUGUUCAUCGUCUGCUGGACUCCCAUUCACAUUUACGUCAUCAUUAAAGCCUUGGUUACAAUCCCAGAAACUACGUUCCAGACUGUUUCUUGGCACUUCUGCAUUGCUCUAGGUUACACAAACAGCUGCCUCAACCCAGUCCUUUACGCAUUUCUGGAUGAAAACUUCAAACGAUGCUUCAGAGAGUUCUGUAUCCCAACCUCUUCCAAUAUUGAGCAACAAAACUCCACUCGAAUUCGUCAGAACACUAGAGACCACCCCUCCACGGCCAAUACAGUGGAUAGAACUAAUCAUCAGGUAUGCAGUCUCUAGAAUUAGGUGUAUCCACUGGGGAUGACGUAAAAAUUAUAAGGCUUUGUGCCAAACUAGGAGUUUAAUCCAUUAUAGAGGAUGAGAAUGGAGGGAAGAGGGGAAGCAAAUAGUGGUUCUAGUGUUAGAGAAGAGGUUUGUUAUACAAACUGUGUUCUUUAUAUUUGACUGUACAUAUUCAUUUAGGUAUAAAGAUACACCAAUGAGAAAUCCAUGAAACUAUUCAAAAUAACUAUUUUUAUGGCCUUUACUUCUAUGCAAAAUUUAUGACUUUAGCAUAUUGUAGAAAUAAUUCUGAUCUAGGAUCCUUUUCAUUUUCCCCAGAAUUAUUAUAUAAUUCAUAGAUGUCACUGCAAUAUCCCUCUUAUUUCUCAAAAGCCAGUCUUGCUCUGGUUCUGUGAUUAAAGAGAGAGGGUCAGUGCCUUGCCCACUGUGGUCAUGGAUGCGAGAUAUU